rnacentral:rRNA from 1 species
UACGUAGGGGGCAAGCGUUGUUCGGAAUUACUGGGCGUAAAGGGCCAGUAGGCGGCCAACUAAGUCCGACGUGAAAUCCCAAGGCUUAACCUUGGAACUGCGUCGGAUACUGGAUGGCUUGAAUUCGGGAGAGGGAUGCAGAAUUCCAGGUGUAGCGGUGAAAUGCGUAGAUAUCUGGAGGAACACCGGUGGCGAAGGCGGGUCUCUGGGCCACUACUGACGCUGAGGAGCGAAAGCGUGGGGAGCGAACAGG